UCCCUGGAGGACUAGUGGUUAAGCCACAGCUCUCUCAGCGCUGCAGCCUGGGUUUGAUUCCCAGCUAGGGAA
rnacentral:tRNA from 1 species